AUUAAACGCUGGGAAAGGAAAUUUUAGGGUGAUAGGGAACAUGUUACGCAACAAGGAAAAUAUCUUUUCAUAUUUUCAAGUAUGUCAGAAAAGGUUUUGGAAAUCAGUAUAUAAAGCCAUUUCGUUUUUCUGGAGUCAUCAUUCGAGUCUCCUUCAGACGAAGAAAUAGCGAAUUCUAUCUUCGAUCAAUACAACUGUAUUUAAAAUGAAGUGCUUCGCCGGACGAUUCCUUAUGGUCUUAGCCUUGACCCUUGCCCUCAUGACCACAGUCAUGAUUCCAGGCACAGAAGCUGGAGGAAACCACCACGGAGGUGGAGGCAGUGGGAUUGCAGGCAUCUUAGCUUCCGGACUCGUGGUGUCCCUCCUCAGAGGCAGAAGGAGUGUCGAUACCAGAGAAUGGAGAGUCUAAUGAUGUCUCACAUAUAUAAAUUUUGAGAAACUGUAUAGAUUAUUGUACAUAAAAUGUAUUUUAUAGUGUUUGUGUAAGUAAUAGAAUCUAAUAUCACUUUGUCUGUUACGUAUAUUGAUAUAUGUAAUAAAAUUUGUAGAAUUUACUAUUAGUUUAAUGCUCCUAUCUUACCUCAUUACACACAUGGUGAUUGUAAAUUCCUCGGUCGAACAAUAUUUCCACGAUGGAACUUAUUCUUAUGUUUAUCUUAACGUAUUAAGUUAUAUGUUAUUGCAAGAAAUGUGCACCGAAACUAAAACAACAAUUUUAGUCUGAAAACUUUAAAUAACAGUAAAAUAGUUACUGUUAAAGCUCUAAAAAACACUAUGAAAAGUAUUUAUAAAAUUAAAAAGAAACAUGAGCCCCAUUUUACCUUAUGUGUAUCGCAUGUGGAUUUCAGAGUAACAUCUGAAGGAGUUUUAAACCAAGCAGUUACUAAUUAAACUAUUUUCCCAGAAAUUAAUUACUUACUAAUUAAAAACUAUUUCCCCAGAAAUUAAAAAUUCAGAAUAUGAAAUCUUAUAUUUAAAAUAGGCUGCUAAAAAUAGCAAAUGCAACUGAUAGAACAAAGUUUAUUUUGAUAUUACUUCGGGUAAAAUUAACUCCUCGUAGAGACUUCUGCACUCAUUUAAUAAAAAAAGAGACCUAAAUUUUCAGGUCAUAACUGUGCAUUUUUUUCAUUAGAUUAUGAGGUAUUCCUCCCGCCUUCUUAACAUGCCUUCGUGGUGUAGUAGUCAGCACGCUUGGCGCGUAUUCGAGAGGACCGUGGGUCGAGUCCCGGUGACGGAAUUGCUCAUUUUUGAUGCCUUCUCCUUCAAAACAACCUAAUGUCUCUGCACGUUUACAAAAAUUCCAGAAUACUGAUAUAUUUCUUUUGAUAAGAAUAAACUUUAUUAACCUAUUAUCGGACUUUUCCAUUCAAUCUAUUACGAACCCGUAC